CCUACGGGGGGCAGCAGUGAGGAAUAUUGGUCAAUGGGCGCGAGCCUGAACCAGCCAAGUAGCGUGAAGGAUGACUGCCCUACGGGUUGUAAACUUCUUUUAUAAAGGAAUAAAGUGAGGCACGUGUGCCUUUUUGUAUGUACUUUAUGAAUAAGGAUCGGCUAACUCCGUGCCAGCAGCCGCGGUAAUACGGAGGAUCCGAGCGUUAUCCGGAUUUAUUGGGUUUAAAGGGAGCGUAGAUGGGUUGUUAAGUCAGUUGUGAAAGUUUGCGGCUCAACCGUAAAAUUGCAAUUGAUACUGGUAGUCUAGAGUACAGUUGAGGUAGGCAGAAUUCGUGGUGUAGCGGUGAAAUGCUUAGAGAUCACGAAGAACUCCGAUUGCGAAGGCAGCUUACUAAACUGCCACUGACAUUGAUGCUCGAAAGUGUGGGUAGCAAACAGGAUUAGAUACCCGUGUAGUC
rnacentral:rRNA from 1 species